rnacentral:rRNA from 1 species
CUUGGCAACCCUAGCAUUGUGAACCCGCCUGAUUACAUGGCGAACUCAAAAGUGAAACAGAAUAGCGGCGGUGGUAGUGUGGGGGUUCCGCACGUCAGAGUAGAGCAUCGCGAGGC